UACGUAGGCAGCGAGCGUUGUUCGGAAUUACUGGGCGUAAAGAGUGUGUAGGCGGUGCUCCCAGUCUGUUGUGAAAUCUCCCGGCUUAACUGGGAGGGUGCAGCGGAAACUAGAGUGCUAGAGGGUGGGAGAGGUAAGCGGAAUUCCUGGUGUAGCGGUGAAAUGCGUAGAUAUCAGGAGGAACACCGGUGGCGAAGGCGGGUCUCUGGGCCAUAACUGACGCUGAGGAGCGAAAGCGUGGGGAGCGAACAGG
rnacentral:rRNA from 1 species